AUAAUAAUACAAAAAAAAAUAAAAUCCAAAUUGUGCUAAGGGCUUUUAUUCUCGUGUGUCUUCGCUGGUUUCAUUCAAAUCGUACGCGACUCAGAUACCGUAUUCUUCUAAAUUCUCAUAAAGGUAACUUAAAAUGGGAUCAAGACACCGUGUUCACAGAGAGGCGAUGAAUCCUCGACGAGGGUAUCCAUCGGAAGGGCCUUAUGCUCGUGGACCACCGAUUCAACGGCCACAUAUUCCUCCUCACCCGGCAUUGUUAGAGGAGGAGCUUGAAGUACAGCAUGCUGAAAUGAGGAGGCUAUUGUCAGAUAACAGGAGGCUGAUUGAUGACCGGAUGGCGUUGCAGCGAGACCUUGCAGCUGCUAAGGAGGAGCUUCAUCGUAUGAAUCUUGCUAUUGGUGAUAUUCGUGCUGAACAUGAGAUGCAUUCGAGGGAGCUUGUUGAUAAAAACAUGAAGUUGGAAUCUGAUCUUAGGUCGACUGAGCCGUUGAAGAAUGAAGUUGUUCAAUUGCGAGCUGAAGUUCAGAAACUUAGUAGUAUCAAACAAGAUCUUUCUGGGAAGGUUCAGACACUCACAAAAGAUGUUGCUAGGUUACAGUCUGAUAACCAACAAAUUCCUUCCAUGAGGUCUGAGAUUGAUGGUUUGCACCAAGAACUGAUGCGUGCUAGAACCAUGGUGGAUUAUGAAAAGAAGGCAAACAUGGAGUUCAUGGAACAGAGGCAGUCGAUGGAGAAAAACAUGGUUUCCAUGGCUCGGGAAGUUGAGAAACUUCGUGCUGAGCUUGCUAGCAUGGAUGGAAGACAUUGGGGAGCUGGUGUGCCUUAUGGAACACAGUUUGGUAGCCCAGAGGGGGGUUUUCCACCGCCAUACGCAGAUGGAUAUGGUGUUCACAUGGGUGCUGCAGAGAAAGGUCCUCUUUAUGGGGUGGGUGCUGCUUCAAGGAAAGCACAUGAGAAGCCUCGUUCAAAUCGUCGUUGAAUCCAAGUGAUUGAUGUUGAUGAUAAAGAAAGGCUGCCAGUGCCAUCCCUCUGGCCGUGUUAGCAGAGUAGCGGAUUGAUGUCCUUCUGUAUGAAAAGCUGUAAAUCUUGUUUGGGACGAAAAGUAAGGAUACAUCCUCACAAGCGUCUUUUGACCUCUUGAGAUUCUGCGGAAUACCAAAAGGUACUUUAUCAUUUCAAAUUGCAAAAUUGGACGAUGCUUACCGUGGGCUGAAGGCAUGUAGGUCACUGGUGGUGAAAGGAUGUAUUUUACCUGGCGGUGAUGGAUCAAGAUAACACAUUAGUAUGCCUUUGUUGUGUUUUGAUCAUUUAGUCAUGACUCGCAGAAUUGAAACGAAAACUUGAUAAGGUAUCAUGGAUUGUUGUUUCAAACAUACGAAAAUAAAAUGUUUUUGUUUGCUAGAUGGAUCAUGAAACCUUGCUUCAGAUGUUGCUUACCAUGUUUGUGAAAGAAGGGAUACCUCACUAAGAUAUAUUAACUUUUGUUCAAGUACAGGCAGACUGACUACACAUGACUCGGGAUAGUCAUGUUUUGUUGAUUUGGUUUGUCCUCCUUGGUGCCUAUCCACCCAUAUGCUUUCAUCUUGGUUGAUCAAAGAGGUUAUCAAAAGUUUUAGAGGUUAUUUACCAGCAUACUUCAGGGUGAUUACUUUUUAUGCUGUUGGUAUAGUAUUUUUAUGCCGAUGGUUUAUUUGGGAUUGGUCAUGCUUCUCCUGAUUUCCAAUUUUUAUUUUUUACUCGAGUUGCUUUUGAUCGUGUUAUUGUGGUUUAUGCGCAUUUAACUUUUGAUUAUACUCACGAUUUAUUAUAGAAAGGUUUGUAGGAAAUGUAACUACUGAUAGGGUUAUUUUGAUGUGAGAGUAGUAUGAUGAAUAAAUUUUAACCAUUCAAUCAUACAUAGUUUGGUCAAA